rnacentral:rRNA from 1 species
UACGGAGGAUGCGAGCGUUAUCCGGAUUUAUUAGGUUUAAAGGGUGUGUAGGCGGGUUAUUAAGUCAGUGGUGAAAUCUCAGAGCUUAACUCUGAAACUGCCAUUGAUACUGGUAAUCUUGAGUACAGUUGAAGUAGGCGGAAUGUGUAAUGUAGCGGUGAAAUGCUUAGAUAUUACACAGAACACCGAUUGCGAAGGCAGCUUACUAAGCUGUUACUGACGCUGAUGCACGAAAGCGUGGGGAGCGAACAGG